rnacentral:lncRNA from 1 species
GGCAUUUAGAGGGUUGGUGACUUGGCUGAAGAAGACAAGCCGGAGGGGGCGGUGUGUGCCUUGGUUGCGCGCAUGCGCAGGGUCCACGUGCGUCUGCUCGCCAGGACUGUGGCCUGAGGAGAAAGCCGUGACAACCACUGAGGAAAUGACUCAGCCAGUAAAUGGAGAGAUGCCUUUUCCAUACCAGUUCCCCCUCGUCUUCACUUAGAAGUCCUGCCCUCCUCAUGGCUGUUGAAGAACUGAGUUCUGAAUAUAUCGAAAGAUAUGUCAAGACCCUUGUCUCAGUUAAGGUUUCUACGGCUGUGACAAACACCAUGACCAAAAGGCAAGUUGGGGAGGAAAGAGAUUAUUUUGCAUAUGCUUCAGCACUGCUGUUCACCACUGAAAGAAGUCAGGACAGGAACUCAAGCAGGGCAGGAUCCUGGAGGCAGGCGCUGAUGCAGAGGCCAUGGAGGAGUGCUGCUUACUGGCUUGCUUCCCACGACUUGCUCAGCCCACCUUCUUACAGAACUCAGAACCAACAGCCCAGGGAUAGCACCACCUCCCCCAUUUCUCCCUAAAUGAGAAAAUGCCUUUCAUCAAGGCAUU